CAUUCACUUCAUUUGCUUAUACAUACAUACCUUAUUUAUUUACAUAUUUGUGUCAUUAAUUAAAAUAAUUUGUUUAUAUACCUACUAGGGUUGUGCGAUUCCAUGAUUUUCAGUUCGAUUCGAUUCCGAUUCGUUUCUCACCACAAGAGUUGAAAUUCGAUUCCGAUUUCGAUUCUUUGGGUAACUUUAUCUACAUAGUCAUUAGUCUGGUAGGACUAACUAAAAAAAAAUUGCAUUUAUUUUGAACCAUAUGUAUUUAACUUAAAUGAAUAAAAAUACAAUUCUGGAAGAUGACUGCGGCCUUUAAACUUGCCACAAUAUUCAUCCAUUACUUAUUUAAUCACUUCACCACUUAUUAAAGAUGUCAAAUGUUACCAACGGUAAAGUCAGCUGCCUCACUGGAGUCACCGAGAUAGUGCGAUGCGUGCUGCGCUAAGAAGUAUAAUUUAUUAAUUAACCUACAUUUGCACAUAUGACGUAUGCAGCAUGGCCUAGCCAGUAGGUUUAUUUAAAUUAAAACCAAUAAGUAACAUAUAUUUCUUUGUUUUUUCAACAAGAUCUGUUCCCCUAAAAACGGAAAAAAUGCGUAAAUUUGAUUAAUUUAUUAACUUCACGAAGUUAAACCACAUAACAAUGAUCAGCUUUAAUUAAGUUUUGUAAAAGGCAAAAGCAUAAACAGUAAACAGUACUUCGAUACUGACAGAAUGUUACGAUUCAGUGAUUCGAUUCCUUUGUGUCGGCACGCGCGAUCUAUGAUAAAUGGUGGCCUGUCACGUAGUUUCGGUUCCCUACCACGUUCGUGCAACUUCGGAUUUCUCUCAAAAAUUGAAAUUAAAAAAAAUCGAAGGGUUAGGUUAGGUUAGGUCAGUCACAACAUGCUUGUUUUCAUUGGAAACUUCUGAUUUAGCGGCUGAAGUGGCGUUAAUACCAAAACGCAAAACUUCGGAAAUCUUCGGAAAUUCUUGCAGGGAACCGAAACUAUGUGAGUUGUAGGCUUCCCGGCAUGUCAACUGGUCUACACGUCCGGCACCGCUAAAAUAUUUUUAUGUCGUGAAUGUUUUAAUGUUGGUUAUUCUGUUAACAGAAGACUGUCACAGAAUGGCGAUCUUUGUAAAUGUAUGAUUGAACAAGGAACUAUUUUAACUGUUAACAGAAAAUUGUGCGUUGAUGGUUGUAAAAUUCAUUUUUAAUAUGUGUUAUUUAUUUUUCAAAACAAAUAAACCAACAAUAUUUUUUCCCCGUGCAACGUGAGAAAUGGUCAUGAGUAAUAUGCCGUAAGUAGGCAGAAAUAAAAAUGUUUGAGCAGAUUGUUAAACUAUUUCAUAAACAAGCAGUUUUCGUAAGGUAUUUAUCAGGGACUGGAAGUAACGCGCUACUAGUAACGACGUUAUUUGUAACAGUUACUUUUUAUGGUAACGAUCGUGGUAACGCAAUAUAUUAAGUUUUCAGUAACUGUAACUGUAAUUGAAUUACAUUUUUCCGCCUUAAAGUAACGAUAAUUGUCGUUACUUCUUGCGUUACAUUUUUUACAUGUAUUUCUUACUGAACGAACAACGAUUUGUUGAUUUUUUCAAUCCCAGAACGAAAAUCCCGACAAGCAUAUUAUUUGCGAUGGUAUUGCUUGUACUUGUAAAACUGCUGUUGGCUAACCUGCGCUCGUAUUUUGAUUGUCAUUUAUUUAAUAUUUGCGACAUGCGGGUUUACUGUUGUGCUGUUUAAUUAAUUAACGUACCUGUGCACAUGCGCGAAAACAAUGACAGAAUAUAAUGAAGCGAGAAGCCGAGUAAGCAGUCCAGAACUUUCGUUGCCGUGGCCUUCGUAUUCUGAUUUUUUCGAAGUUCGGUCGAGUGAUCAAAAUAAUCUUAUUGUGAAGUGCUUGUUGUGUGGUGCUGCGAACAAUAAGAUGAUCCGAACGAACAUUUCAUCGUCUUCAAACCUGAAGAAACACAUCAAGGUAAGUUUAUCGCAACUAUAGACCCGAUUAGUACCUAAUUUCUAAGUCCUAUUUUAUUUUAAUAACGGACUGUUUACGAAUAUAACGCAUGUUACUCUAAACAGUACCGAAAAUCUGUAUAUGUGCAUGUAUUGCACUUGUGACAACAUUACCUCACUUAAUAUGAUUCAAAUGUUAUUGUAGUAUGUAUGUAAGUAAACAUAACUGCACAAAACAUUAAAAACAUCAUUAUAGAAUGGAAAUAGAAAUAUAUUUUGUUUCUAUAGUAAAAGUGUGUUUGAUUUAUGAUUGCAGAGUAAACACCCUCACAGCUUAUGUUCCCUUGAGAAUGCAAAAAGAAAUGAGCAGGUAAAACGGAAACUGCAGCAUAGUCAAAAUAAUGUACCUAAUAAGCAAACAACAUUGGAAAGAUGGGGCACAGGUGCAUCCCAUGUGACUCAAGGGAUGUUAAAUGAGGCUAUUGUUAAUUUCUUUGUCGAAGGAUGUCAACCACUGUGUAUAGUUGACCAACCUGAAUUCAUAAACUUGGUGCGACUGGGUUUACCAAGCUCAUUAACUAUAAUGAGCUCAAAAACACUUGUAGUGAGGUUAGACGAAGCAUUUACAAAUAUGGUUGGUGUACUAAAAGAAGAAUUACAUACUUCUACUAGAAGUUGUGUCCACAACCACUGACAUGUGGAGUAAAGGGAAAAGGAGCUUCAUAGGCAUGACAGUUCAUUGGAUAAACCCUGAAAGUAUGGAAAGGAAAUCGGCUGCACUGACAUGCAAGCGUUUCAUAGGGAAACACACUUAUGAUGCAAUUGCAAAACACUUAGUUUCUGUACAUCAAGAGUAUUGCAUUCAGAACAAAAUAUGUUGCACAACCACAGACAAUGGCUCAAAUUUUUGCAAAGCUUUUCGUGUGUUCGAAGAAGUUUCUGAAAAUGAUGACGACACCGACUUUCAGUGCAUUGGGGACAUAAUGGAUGAGCACAAUGAAAACAUACUGGAUGAUGAUACAAUGAUUCUUCCUCCCCAUCAGCGAUGUGCAGCUCAUACACUGAACUUAAUUGCCGUUAAAGACACUGAACAGGCCAUGGAAGAUGUUUCUUAUAAAAAAGUAUACAGAAGCACAUUUGCCAAAUGUUCAAAACUCUGGGCAAAACAAAAUCAAUCAACACAAGUAGCAGAUCACAUCAAUGCAAAAUGUGGUGUUUAUUUGAAGACACCAGUCAUAACCAGGUACGCUGCUGCCAAGUAUUUUUGUAUAGAAAUAAUCGAUAGACCUACCAUAGAUAUUACAAUUUUUUUUAUCUGGCAAUGCAUUAUUUGUUCAAAUUUUUGUGGUGCGAUGACUGUACAAUAUAGAGUAAUUGUGUUUAUUGUUUAAAAUAAGACUAUUAAAAAUAUUUUAGCAUGUAAAAGAAAAAUA